UACGAACCGGACGAACGUUAUUCGGAAUCAUUGGGCUUAAAGGGUGCGUAGGCGGCCGCGUAAGUCGGGUGUGAAAUCCCUCGGCUCAACCGAGGAAUUGCGCCCGAUACUGCGUGGCUAGAGGGAGACAGAGGCGAGCGGAACUGAUGGUGGAGCGGUGAAAUGCGUUGAUAUCAUCAGGAACACCGGUGGCGAAGGCGGCUCGCUGGGUCUCUUCUGACGCUCAGGCACGAAAGCUAGGGUAGCGAACAGGAUUAGAAACCCCCGUAGUCC
rnacentral:rRNA from 1 species